rnacentral:rRNA from 1 species
GACGAACGCUGGCGGCGUGCUUAACACAUGCAAGUCGAACGAAGAGCGACGGAAGCUUGCUUCUAUCAAUCUUAGUGGCGAACGGGUGAGUAACGCGUAAUCAACCUGCCCUUCAGAGGGGGACAACAGUUGGAAACGACUGCUAAUACCGCAUACGAUCUAACCUCGGCAUCGAGGAUAGAUGAAAGGUGGCCUCUACAUGUAAGCUAUCACUGAAGGAGGGGAUUGCGUCUGAUUAGCUAGUUGGAGGGGUAACGGCCCACCAAGGCGAUGAUCAGUAGCCGGUCUGAGAGGAUGAACGGCCACAAUGGGACUGAGACACGGCCCAGACUCCUACGGGAGGCAGCAGUGGGGAAUCUUCCGCAAUGGACGAAAGUCUGACGGAGCAACGCCGCGUGAGUGAUGACGGCCUUCGGGUUGUAAAGCUCUGUUAAUCGGGACGAAAGGCCUUCUUGCGAAUAGUGAGAAGGAUUGACGGUACCGGAAUAGAAAGCCACGGCUAACUACGUG